rnacentral:rRNA from 1 species
AUGGCCUCUGGCUCGCGAGGAACUCAGCAAGAGAUGGGAAGAGGAUUGACCAACCACAUGAAAUCAUGGAGUCGGUAUGCUCUCACAUGGCAGAAUGGAGCAGCGUGCAUCAACCAAAGCCGAGGCAAGAAAGGACGGAUCGGCCACAAAAAUGGGAAGCACCUGAAGAUGGAUGGGUUAAGAUCAAUUCUGAUGGUGCCGUUAAUAAAGGAGGGAGUAAGGCUGGUGGUGGAGCGGUGCUUCGGGACCAUAAUGGGGCAUUUCUGGCCGGAGUGUGCCAUCAUUUUCCACACAUUGUGGAGCCUGAAGCAGCGGAGAUUUUGGCUUGCAAAAGAGCUUUGCAGGUAG